ACUUUUACCCAGAGACAUGAAUGGGAUAGAGCACAGGUGUUUUGGCCCAUUUCUGAGGAACACUGCUGAAGAAAUCUGUCCCCAGUAGGAAUUAUACAUGUUUUUUUCUUGUGUGAUCAAGUAUCUGGGGGGUGACUUCUGAUAACCUAUCUAUUCCUGUGCAAUGGGAAACCACAGGUGCCGUUUUGGAAAGAAGCAGAAACAUGGUUGCAUUGGGGGAAGAAGGGCGAAUGACUGGACUGUCUUGUGUGUUUUAUAGAAGAGUUAUAAAUAAUAUUUACAAAUACUUUUUUUUUGGAAAA
rnacentral:lncRNA from 1 species